UUUUCAGUUGUGUUUUUGUAGGGGAAAGAUGAGAGAUGAACAGUGUUUAAAUUCAAUCUGUCUAGAAACUGAAAAGGUGUUCUCAUACUUUCAAAAGGAAAUACUGCCUGCAGCUAAAAGUUUAUAACUGAGAAAGACCUAGAGCAGCAUGCAGGUAGUAAAAAA